UACAGAGGGUGCAAGCGUUAAUCGGAAUUACUGGGCGUAAAGCGUGCGUAGUCGGUUAUUUAAGUCGGGUGUGAAAGCCCCGGGCUCAACCUGGGAAUUGCAUUCGAUACUGGAUAGCUAGAGUUCGGCAGAGGGAAGCGGAAUUUCCGGUGUAGCGGUGAAAUGCGUAGAUAUCGGAAGGAACAUCAGUGGCGAAAGCGGCUUCCUGGACCAGUACCGACGUUCAGGCACGAAAGCGUGGGGAGCAAACAGG
rnacentral:rRNA from 1 species